UUCAAUACUCAGCAACUGAUCACCUGUGUUUCCUAAGUGCUAACUUAAUAAGGGAAACAGGUGCCUUAAAUAAACCACCUCUAAUGAGGCUUGUCUCAGACAGAAAUUAGGCAGAGUACUAAGACCAGAAUUACCUCAGGUAAAUGUCACAUGUCUCUAUCUGGGCAGGCCAGAUCUACCUCAGACAAA